CAGCAGCCGCGGGAAUACAGAGGGUGCGAGCGUUAAUCGGAUUUACUGGGCGUAAAGCGUGCGUAGGCGGCUUCUUAAGUCGGAUGUGAAAUCCCUGAGCUUAACUUAGGAAUUGCAUUCGAUACUGGGAAGCUAGAGUAUGGGAGAGGUUGGUAGAAUUCCAGGUGUAGCGGUGAAAUGCGUAGAGAUCUGGAGGAAUACCGAUGGCGAAGGCAGCCAUCUGGCCUAAUACUGACGCUGAGGUACUAAAGCAUGGGGAGCAAACAGGAUUAGAUACCCCUGUAGUCCCUGUCUCUUAUAC
rnacentral:rRNA from 1 species